rnacentral:rRNA from 1 species
UACGUAGGGGCCAAGCGUUGUCCGGAAUUAUUGGGCGUAAAGAGCAUGUAGGCGGUUUGGUAAGUCAGAUGUUAAAUCUAUAGGCUCAACCUGUAGCCGCAUCUGAUACUGCCUGGCUAGAGAAUGGUAGAGGAAAGCGGAACUUCCGGUGUAGCGGUGAAAUGCGUAGAUAUCGGAAGGAACACCAGUGGCGAAGGCGGCUUUCUGGGCCAUUUCUGACGCUGAGAUGCGAAAGCUAGGGGAGCAAACGGG